rnacentral:lncRNA from 1 species
GGCGGAAAGUGAUCAUCGGUGCAAAAGGUACGGACAAGGAAUAGUUCCUGGCAGACUUUCAGUGGAAGGGGCACAUGAACGAAUAAAACAUACACCGGAAUAAGAAGGAUAUAAAGACAGUAUAUGUAUAGGACUGUAUGGUUAAAGGAUAGCUUAAAAGAAUUAAUUUGGCUAUUCAUAUCAACAAAUGUAUUUGCUUUUGGAUAGCUUAACCUAUAAGAAUUUCAUGGUUAAACGUGUUUAGCCUAGAGUAAUUUACACCAGUAUUGUCUUAUGUGCAGUAUAUAGAUAUUGUUUUGUGUGUUUUUUUAAGUAUUAGAAGUCCUACAUCGACUAGAGAUAAAGUUAUUUAAGUCUAUAUAAAUGGAUGCAAAUCUCACU